rnacentral:rRNA from 1 species
UACGGAGGGAGCUAGCGUUGUUCGGAAUUACUGGGCGUAAAGGGUGCGUAGGUGGCGGGGGUAAGUCAGGUGUGAAAUCUCGGAGCUCAACUCCGAAACUGCACUUGAUACUGCCUUGCUUGAGUACUGGAGAGGAGAUUGGAAUUUACGGUGUAGCAGUGAAAUGCGUAGAUAUCGUAAGGAAGACCAGUGGCGAAGGCGAAUCUCUGGACAGUUACUGACACUGAGGCACGAAGGCCAGGGGAGCAAACGGG